rnacentral:tRNA from 1 species
GGGAAUAGUUCAGCGGUAGAACAGUACCUUGCCAAGGUGAAGGUCGCGGGUUCGAGUCCCGUUUCCC